rnacentral:piRNA from 1 species
UAAGCGAUAUAUAUACAAAAUGCUUAA